UUGGCACAAGUAACCGCAAGGUAGGUGAGAUCCCUACCCGCCGAAAGAUCAAGGUUUCCUGGGCAAUGAUUAUCAUCCCAGGGUUAGUCGGUCCUAAGGAGAUGGUGAAAACCGCAUCCGAUGGGCACAUGGUUAAUAUUCCAUGACUUCUGUUGUAUCCGAUGAUAGGACGGAGUGUAGUAUAUAAAGCUCAUUAUUGGAUUUGAGUUUGUUCGUAAGGAUGUCUCCUAGGAAAAUCCGGGAGAUGACGUAAAAGUAACAUCCAAGCAAAGCAUAAAUGUCGGGGUUCGCCUCGAUAGAUUUUAUAAAGCACGCUUCCAAGAAAAGUAUCUAAGGUUAAUACAAUAGAAUCCGUACCGCAAACCGACACAGGUGAUCAGGUCGAGUAGACCAAGGCGAACGAGUGAGAGGUCUUCAAGGAACUCGGCAAAAAAGGCAACUGUUUAUCAAAAACACAGCUCCCUGCGAACUCGCAAGAGGAUGUAUAGGGGGUGACACCUGACCAAUGCCAGAAGGUCAAAUAUCGGUGGUGAUAUGUCUUCGGAUGUAUUGCUGGCUGAUAUAAGCCCUGGUGAAUGUCGGCCGUAACUAUGAACGGUCCUAAGGUAGCGAAGUACCUUGUCGGGUAAGUUCCGACGCGCACGAAUGGUGUAAUGACUGGAGAACUGUCUCGAAGACCUGCUCGGUGAAAAACAGUAUCUGGUGGGUAGUUUUACUGGGGCGGUAUCCUCGCUAAAGAGUAACGGAGGAGUUUAUUAAGGUUAGCUAGGCGCGAAUGGAAACCGUGCCGAUAGUGUAAUGGCACAAGCUAGCUUAACUGUAAGACGUACACCUCGAUGUCGGCUCACCUUAUCCUGGUGGUGGAGAAGCUGCCAAGGGUUUAGCUGUUCGCUAAUUAAAAAGGUACGCGAGCUGGGUUCAAACCGUUGAGACGCGUGAGACAGGUUGGUCUCCUAUCUACUGCAGGCGUUGAUUCUUGAGAAGAUUUGCUCCUAGUACGAGAGGACCGGAGUGAACUGACCUCUGGUGUGUGGGCUCUACUGCCAAGUGGACUGCCCAGUAGCUAUGUCGGGAAUGGAUAACCUCUGAAAGCAUCUAAGAGGGAAGCCAGCUUCAAGAUGAGGAAUCGUUUGAGAAACCUGAGAGAUGAUCAGGUUGAUAGGCACUAGGUGUACAGACAGUAAUGUCUUUAGCCGAGGUGUACUAAUCGUUCGA
rnacentral:rRNA from 1 species